AAAAAAAAAAAAAAAAGCAAACUAUCUGAAAUAACAAUAUUUCCUUUCCCAAGUAACGUAUGUCCUGCUUUUGAACUCACAGCCAAAAUGAAUGCAAAAUUAGCACCUCAAAGCUCCAAUUUUGCUUCCAUAACAAUCACAUCAAAAUCCAUCCCUUUCCAAAACUUGCUAUUAAUUACAGAUGCAAGAACUCCAUGACCAUGUCCUCAAUUUCAUUAAAAUAAAAUGGCAGAUAAACCCUAUGCUUUUCAUUAAAAAACCCAAGAAAAGAAAAAAGAAUAAACAAAUUUUCAUUAAAAAAACCCAAGAAAAGAAAAAAGAAUAAACAAAUUUUCAUUAAAAAAACCCAAGAAAAGAAAAAAGAAUAAACAAAUUUUCAUUAAAAAAACCCAAGAAAAGAAAAAAGAAUAAACAAAUUUUCAUUA
rnacentral:misc_RNA from 1 species